UCCUGGUUAGUUCAGUUGGUAGGGCGUUCCAUUGAGAAUGGAGAGAUCCCUAGUUCGAUGCCAGGACCAGGCG
rnacentral:tRNA from 1 species